rnacentral:lncRNA from 9 species
GAAAGGACAACGUGGUAACAUUCACAUUUGCUUGACAGAUAAUGUUAGAGGAAAGAGGUGAUUUAAGAACAGGAGUUGAAAGCAAAAGCCAUAUCCCAAAGCAUGAAAAAUCAUAGCUACUCCAUAGGAAAAGUUACGCAAGGGGAGUCUCAAGGAAGAGGGAACUGUAUAUGGAUAGAAACUAAACAAGCUGCUUGCUAUCCUCCGGGUAGGAAGGAAUCACAGCCAAACAAGAAAAAACACGAAGCACAGAGGUGCUGUGACUCUCCCAAGGGCUGAGGCUUAUUUCUUCAUUAUAUUAUAGAGCAAAUAAGGAGGGAUAUCUCUUUUACGGCUGAGGAACAACACACACAGAGCUACGCUGCUAUUGGGAACCCUUGCUUAGGAUAGGAACAUAGGGCUGCAGUUACCUUUAACACACAAUUACCCAGUGGCUCCAGUCCAUGCAUAAAUCUCUUAUCGAAUACAUCACUGAAAUAAGAGAUUAAAGAACCCCAGCUGGUUCCCCACCCCAUCGUUUGUGGGAAUGCUCCUUACAAUACAGUUUUUAACUAUAUGAAACAGAACGUUCCCUUAGAAGUACAAACUUCCCCAUUAUGUUGCUACGAUAAGCAAAAUGCUUAACUGCCAACAACUUUUUAGAAACUAAAAGCACACUGUGACAUAUGCUGUGUGAGAGGAGCAGCAUUAUUUCAUUGAUUGAAGUUCCUGCUUCUUUCUGCUUGUCAUGACUGCUCAUGAUUUCUACGGUCAAAUUCUGGAAACAGUUAUUGAAAAUGUAAGCAGAAAUUUAUAAAUAAGUUUUGAAAUAAGAUGGGAACUUAUUUCAAAAACCAUCAAAUAAUAUCUUAGCACAUGAGAUUGAUUACCACAUGAGAUUGUGCUUAACUGAGGACAUUGGGUGUCAUUAAAAAUAAAAAUCUUCAGCAAUCUUUAGGCGAUUAGAGACUUUUUAAACUCUAAAAAGACGAAAGAAAAAACAAACACACAAAAAAACCUGGAAGCCACCAACAGGGCCUGCAGUUGUUUCCUCUGUUAGGAUCUGCUAAGGUUCUGUCAAGUCACUAAAGAAUAACAAUUCUUAGAUGCCUUGUUCAGGUAGAUGAUAUCAUUUAAUUUCUCUGAUGAUAGAGAUCUGAAGAUAUGUUACAUUGAUAAAAUAAUAAUGUGGAAUUAUUAUUUGCAGGGCAGAAUUGGAAAACUUCUUGAGUUUCCUCUUUCUUGUUCAUUUUUGUUAGGGUGGGGUUCUUUCAGAGGCACAGAUGUUGACUAAAAGUGAGGGAGGGGUGGGGCUGAUGUUGGUGCAAAAGAGAGAAAAUAGAGUUCUUCUUGUGUGAUUUGCAGAAGAGGGAUUUUCUGUUUUGCUUUACAGCCCAGAACAUUUAAGAUCUCUCAUUAGAGAACUGAGGAGCUCACUUUUGCAAAACUAUGAACUAAAACUUUUUACACAAGAUUCUCUAGAGGUCCAUGGGUUGCUGAGAUGAUGCUGUAAUGUGCAAAUAUACAACACGAUAGCCUGUAUAAUUUUUAUAAUUUUCCUGACUGAGAACGCCAUGCUUGUCAAGUUGGAGAAAACACUGAAAUCUGAGUUAGAUGUUAACAAUGCGAAACCAGGAUUUCUGUAUAAGAAACGUUGGUAGUAUCAUACUUGAAAUCGUGUGUGGUUUUACCCUUUAGAAACUUUAAAAGCCAUGACAACUUUAAAGAUAUGAGAAAGUGGAGAACAUCAUAAGGAGAAUAGUUGCUAAUUUAUUUUCAAUUCAACAUAUAUCUGGCAUAUACAUAUAUUUACAUUAACUAUGCAAAGUGCUCUUCUAGCAGUAAGGAAGGAGAAAUAAUGAUGAGUUGGAUAAGAUCCCUAUUUGCAAGGAGCAUAUAACCUAAUUGGAAAAUAAAGCAUAAGGACUAGAGCACAAAAGUCACAUAACCAAAACAGUAGGAAGGAUAACUUGAUACACUACAUAAUUAAUGAUCAAAUUAGUGUCUAGACCCGAGGUUAUAACCUCGGAUGUGCGAUGAAAUUAUAUGGAGAGAUUUUAAGAAAUUAAAUGCGUGAGCUCUGCCUCAGACCUCUUGAACUAAAUUUCUGAGCAGGGCAUGGGAAGAUAGAGGCUGUAAAUUCAGGGAAGGGAAAGAAGUUGAGGGAAGAAACACCUGAUGUUUUGGGGUAUUUUGGUUUUUUUGGCCAUGCCCACAGCAUGUAGAAGUUCCCAGGCCAGGGACUGAACCUAUACCAUGGCAGUGACCCCAGCCAUAGCAAUGACAAUGCUGGAUUCCUAACCCGCUAGGCCACCAGGAUGCCACCAAUGGGCAAAUACUUCUGCCAGUAAAGGUGGCAUGUAAACCAAUCAGCUUUUCAGCAGAAACUCUUACUUCUUUCCAUCUCCAUCUCUUUGAUGCCUAGCACAUCGAAGUUGAGAAAUACCAGACUAGAUCAUAAGAGUGAGAGGCUACAGUGGAGCUGAAAGGCUUCAAGGAGGAGCAUCUUACAUUGAAUUUAAAAAGAAAAAUCUUGCCAAACAUAGAAGAGAAGGAGUUCCCAUUGUGAUGCAGCAGAAACAAAAUUGACUGGUAACCAUGAGGUUGCCGGUUCAAUCCCUGGCCUCUCUCAGUGGGUUAAGGAUCUGGCGUUGCCAUGAGCUGUGGUGUAGGUCACAGAAAUGGCUCGGAUCCUGCGAUGCUGUGGCUGUAGCUCCAAUUCGACCCCUAGCCUGGAAACCUCCCUAUGCUGUGGGUACAGCUGUAAAAAGAAAAAAAAAAUACAGAGAAGAAGAGAAGAGCUUGCCAGGGAAAAGGAACAGCAUAUAUUCAGGAAAGUAAAACUGGGCUUGAAAGUGUGGUGCACUGAAGAGCUGUUUAGAAGAGAGGGUUCAUGCAGGGGAAUGCGGGACUCUUGAGAGGAUCUGAUUUCUUCCUUGGGUUCUGCUGUGUUUUUAUUACAGAAAAAUGUGAACACUAAGUCUAUGAUUUUAUAAAUCUUGAUUCAAUAAACUCUAUGUUACUUGUGUUUACGCUAGUUACAUUCAAAUAGUUAGCGUCAUUAUUUUCAUUACAAUCUGCAUAUCUAGCAUGCAUUCUUGGCUGUGAAUUUUUUAUUUCUUUUUCACAUUUCUUCCUUGAAGGUGGCUCAAGGUUCUUUAGUCAUUUUCAUUCAGUCCUCAUACUUACUAGAGAAAACCAGGACCACAGUGACCUGAUAUUGAUGACAUAAAUUGUUUGUGCACAAGAUGCCUUAGUUCAGAACUCCAGAAAGCAAGAGUAUAUCUCCAAGAUGAUUAUCAGAGUUAACUUAAGAGUCAGUGGUUGGGACUUAUGCAACUUGAAUUAAAUACCAAUAUUAUGGUUACCUGAGUGAGUGAUUCCUGGUAAGAUCAGGUUGACGCUCCUGUAGAAUUUCAAAGAUGUUGGGUUGGCGAAGAAAUGCAACAAUCUUGUCAUUGUAAGCUGAAAAGAAGAUAUAUAAAACAAUAUGUUAAAAUAUGUUAUUAACUUUAUGCACAUUAUUACAGAUUUUUUAAAAUCUGUUUUUCUGGUUAAUAUUCCUUGUACUCAAAGUCAUAGUUUAGAGUCACUAGGAAUACCUAAAUGCCAAUUUCUGUCUAUUCUUUUAUUUGAGUAUUGGACUUAGACCUGUCAGGUAUGACUUACAUAAGCACUCAUUAAACUCAUUUGAUGAGCUAUGUUUAUUAUCAAAUUGCAGGAUGAGAUCAUCAAUAAGAUUCUAGAUUUUGUUAUGCAACUGCUUACUAAAAUCAACCUCACAAGCAACUGCUAGAAAUGAAAAACCAUAUUCUGAUUAAAUGUCAGCCAUCCACAGAGGUCAAGAGACAGAACAAGAGCUGCUAAAAUGCAGUAGUUGCCAGCAGCAGCCACUAUUGAAAUGCAGAGACAAACCAUCCCCAAAUUCUACGUGGAAGUAAAUGCCAUUAAGCCACACCAUAGUUCUUUACCAAACCACCUACACCAAUGGCUAUAAUGUAAUCAGUGUCAUCAAUUAUGAAUGCAGCAUUUUAAAAGGAAAAUCUGUAUCUUAGUCAAGGCUGGCUAAUGUUUACAGAAAUUUUAAAUUUAAUUAAAUUUAUUAAAGGCUCUGUUAAUUUUCUCUCAAGAAAACUCAUUUGCUUACUUAAGAUGAUUCAUCUUAAUUACAUUUAUUUAUAAUCAGAAAUAUAGGGAGUUCCCAUUGUGGCGCAGCGGAAU